AAUUAUUAAUAUUGGUAAAAACUCGAAAAAAACUUGGCAGCACUUAUUCGUAGCAAGAAAAACUCAAUUUUUUGUCUGCACACAGUCUGCAAGAGAGAAUUUUUCGUGUUACUCAGUUUUUGUUGAGUGAAAUAUGAGUAGUUUUAUAAACUGCUUUGUUAAAGUAACGGGGAUUAAUGCAGUUUAUAUACACACAUACAUAAAAUAAGUAAUGUUUAACUGCACUGUUACAGAACAAAACGAAACAAGAAUAGAAAAAAAAAGAACAAAACGAAACAAGAUUUGAGAAACAAAGAAAAAAGAAGGUAACAACAUCUUCAGUUUUGUUUGAUCUAUGCGACAGUAAAGAAGUGUUUUUUAAGAAUUAAUGUUAUUAUUUAUAUAAAGUGAUUUGAAUUGUAUUAAUUGUUUUUUGUGUGAUAAUUUCCAACGGAAGAAUUAAUAGCAUUACUAUACUACAGGCAAGCGGGGAAAGCUGUACAAUAAAAUACACAACAUCAAACGAUAUAACAAAAUAUUGAAAGACUUUGAAAAAGAAAAUUCAAUAGAUGAAAGUGAAGAACACGAUCCGGAAUCCGAUUGGGAACAGUGUUUACACCUUUUAAAAAUUGGAAACUUAUCUCCGGAGGAAUUUGACCUACACUGGAGAAAAUGUGCUUACUACAGAUUUAAACAAAUGAAAGAGAAGAAAAGUACAUUGGAAAUAUUGAACGAGUGGCCGGAAUAUAAAAAGUCAUCAGGAUUUCAAUUAAUAUCAAUAGACUUUCAACUAAAGUUUCCAAAGGCUAAGGAAUUAAAAACCAAAUGGGCAGAUUACGGGGGAAAGUUGUUUAGUUUGUUGAGGAAUAAAGUCGUUAACUCGACUACUUCAGCUAUACUCAAAAAGUUAGCAGGCUGUAACGAAGACACAAAAAUAUUUCAUUUGCUAUAAUGGGCUAAAGUUCCGAAGAGCUGGAAACAAAAUUGAAUUUGCUGAAGCUCCAGUCAAUAAGUAUAUAGCCAUUACUUUUAGUGUUAGGUGAUUUAGAAGAUAUCAAAAAUAUUUCGAUAUAUUUUGAUGGCAUAAGGUCCCAUGAUUAACUGCUGUACAUAUUUUAUACAAAAUAAUGUUUGUUUUUAAUCUAGAGUUUCCAAAAAAAUCCGAAAUAUUUUAUAAUUUUAUUCAAAUAUUCUUUUUUGAAAUGCCCACAGCCAAAAAAAAUAAAGUUUUAUA